rnacentral:lncRNA from 1 species
UCAGGAAAGGGGAAAAUUCAGGUCAAAAUGAAACAACCUUUUAUGACCAGUAAACAAAGAUGAGAGACUUCACUUUUUAAAGAAAGACAUAUGCAAAGACAAUCUAAGAAGAAAAGAGAAAUUCCAGAUUACAUGGGAUGCUUUAUUCACAUCAGCUGGUAAAUGUCCCCAAGGUACUCAAUAAUAAAGAGAAAAAUAACUUUACAGUGGAAAAAAAUUCUCAGAGAACUAUUUAACUCAACGAAUCAAAUUAACACCAAUUAUAACAGAACAAAUUUUCAUCAUGCGCUGAUGCUCACAGAAUGACACAAUAUCACUGCUGUGAUACUGGCCCCCGCCAAAGAAGUAAAUUAUAAUUCAAAUCUAAUCAUAAAGAAACAAGUUUUAUGCAAAAAGCAAACUACAGUAAUCGCUCAUGUUGU